rnacentral:rRNA from 1 species
UACGGAGGAUCCGAGCGUUAUCCGGAUUUAUUGGGUUUAAAGGGUGCGCAGGCGGGAGAUUAAGUCGGCGGUGAAAUUUUGCAGCUCAACUGUAAAAGUGCCUUCGAAACUGGUUUCCUUGAGUGUGGAUGAAGUAGGCGGAAUUUGUGGUGUAGCGGUGAAAUGCAUAGAUAUCACGAGGAACUCCGAUCGCGUAGGCAGCUUACUAAACCACUACUGACGCUCAGGCACGAAGGCGUGGGGAUCAAACAGGAUUAGAUACCCUGGUAGU